rnacentral:rRNA from 1 species
GUUAAGCGACUAAGCGUACACGGUGGAUGCCCUGGCAGUCAGAGGCGAUGAAGGACGUGCUAAUCUGCGAAAAGCGUCGGUAAGGUGAUAUGAACCGUUAUAACCGGCGAUGUCCGAAUGGGGAAACCCAGUGUGAUUCGUCACACUAUCGUUAACUGAAUACAUAGGUUAACGAGGCGAACCGGGGGAACUGAAACAUCUAAGUACCCCGAGGAAAAGAAAUCAACCGAGAUUCCCCCAGUAGCGGCGAGCGAACGGGGAGCAGCCCAGAGUCUGAAUCAGCUUGUGUGUUAGUGGAACGGUCUGGAAAGUCCGACGGUACAGGGUGAUAGUCCCGUACACCAAAAUGCACAGGCUGUGAACUCGAAGAGUAGGGCGGGACACGUGGUAUCCUGUCUGAAUAUGGGGGGACCAUCCUCCAAGGCUAAAUACUCCUGACUGACCGAUAGUGAACCAGUACCGUGAGGGAAAGGCGAAAAGAACCCCGGCGAGGGGAGUGAAAAAGAACCUGAAACCGUGUACGUACAAGCAGUGGGAGCACCUUCGGGUGUGACUGCGUACCUUUUGUAUAAUGGGUCAGCGACUUAUAUUCUGUAGCAAGGUUAACCGUAUAGGGGAGCCGCAGGGAAACCGAGUCUUAACUGGGCGUUAAGUUGCAGGGUAUAGACCCGAAACCCGGUGAUCUAGCCAUGGGCAGGUUGAAGGUUGGGUAACACUAACUGGAGGACCGAACCGACUAAUGUUGAAAAAUUAGCGGAUGACUUGUGGCUGGGGGUGAAAGGCCAAUCAAACCGGGAGAUAGCUGGUUCUCCCCGAAAGCUAUUUAGGUAGCGCCUCGUGAACUCAUCUUCGGGGGUAGAGCACUGUUUCGGCUAGGGGGUCAUCCCGACUUACCAACCCGAUGCAAACUACGAAUACCGAAGAAUGUUAUCACGGGAGACACACGGCGGGUGCUAACGUCCGUCGUGAAGAGGGAAACAACCCAGACCGCCAGCUAAGGUCCCAAAGUCAUGGUUAAGUGGGAAACGAUGUGGGAAGGCACAGACAGCCAGGAUGUUGGCUUAGAAGCAGCCAUCAUUUAAAGAAAGCGUAAUAGCUCACUGGUCGAGUCGGCCUGCGCGGAAGAUGUAACGGGGCUAAACCAUGCACCGAAGCUGCGGCAGCGACACUAUGUGUUGUUGGGUAGGGGAGCGUUCUGUAAGCCUGCGAAGGUGACCUGUGAGGGUUGCUGGAGGUAUCAGAAGUGCGAAUGCUGACAUAAGUAACGAUAAAGCGGGUGAAAAGCCCGCUCGCCGGAAGACCAAGGGUUCCUGUCCAACGUUAAUCGGGGCAGGGUGAGUCGACCCCUAAGGCGAGGCCGAAAGGCGUAGUCGAUGGGAAACAGGUUAAUAUUCCUGUACUUGGUGUUACUGCGAAGGGGGGACGGAGAAGGCUAUGUUAGCCGGGCGACGGUUGUCCCGGUUUAAGCAUGUAGGCUGGUUAUCCAGGCAAAUCCGGAUAAUCAAGGCUGAGGUGUGAUGACGAGGCACUACGGUGCUGAAGUAACAAAUGCCCUGCUUCCAGGAAAAGCCUCUAAGCAUCAGGUAACAUCAAAUCGUACCCCAAACCGACACAGGUGGUCAGGUAGAGAAUACCAAGGCGCUUGAGAGAACUCGGGUGAAGGAACUAGGCAAAAUGGUGCCGUAACUUCGGGAGAAGGCACGCUGGUGUGUAGGUGAAGCCCCUGCGGGUGGAGCUGAGACCAGUCGAAGAUACCAGCUGGCUGCAACUGUUUAUUAAAAACACAGCACUGUGCAAACACGAAAGUGGACGUAUACGGUGUGACGCCUGCCCGGUGCCGGAAGGUUAAUUGAUGGGGUUAUCCGUAAGGAGAAGCUCUUGAUCGAAGCCCCGGUAAACGGCGGCCGUAACUAUAACGGUCCUAAGGUAGCGAAAUUCCUUGUCGGGUAAGUUCCGACCUGCACGAAUGGCGUAAUGAUGGCCAGGCUGUCUCCACCCGAGACUCAGUGAAAUUGAACUCGCUGUGAAGAUGCAGUGUACCCGCGGCAAGACGGAAAGACCCCGUGAACCUUUACUAUAGCUUGACACUGAACAUUGAGCCUUGAUGUGUAGGAUAGGUGGGAGGCUUUGAAGCGUGGACGCCAGUCUGCGUGGAGCCAACCUUGAAAUACCACCCUUUAAUGUUUGAUGUUCUAACGUUGGCCCCUUACCGGGGUUGCGGACAGUGUCUGGUGGGUAGUUUGACUGGGGCGGUCUCCUCCCAAAGCGUAACGGAGGAGCACGAAGGUUAGCUAAUCCUGGUCGGACAUCAGGAGGUUAGUGCAAUGGCAUAAGCUAGCUUGACUGCGAGCGUGACGGCGCGAGCAGGUGCGAAAGCAGGUCAUAGUGAUCCGGUGGUUCUGAAUGGAAGGGCCAUCGCUCAACGGAUAAAAGGUACUCCGGGGAUAACAGGCUGAUACCGCCCAAGAGUUCAUAUCGACGGCGGUGUUUGGCACCUCGAUGUCGGCUCAUCACAUCCUGGGGCUGAAGUAGGUCCCAAGGGUAUGGCUGUUCGCCAUUUAAAGUGGUACGCGAGCUGGGUUUAGAACGUCGUGAGACAGUUCGGUCCCUAUCUGCCGUGGGCGCUGGAGAAUUGAGGGGGGCUGCUCCUAGUACGAGAGGACCGGAGUGGACGCAUCACUGGUGUUCGGGUUGUCAUGCCAAUGGCACUGCCCGGUAGCUAAAUGCGGAAGAGAUAAGUGCUGAAAGCAUCUAAGCACGAAACUUGCCCCGAGAUGAGUUCUCCCUGAGACUUUAAGUCUCCUGAAGGAACGUUGAAGACGACGACGUUGAUAGGCCGGGUGUGUAAGCGCAGCGAUGCGUUGAGCUAACCGGUACUAAUGAACCGUGAGGCUUAACC